rnacentral:rRNA from 1 species
AUCAAUAAGCGGAGGAAAAAGAAACUAACAAGGAUUCCCCUAGUAACUGCGAGUGAAGCGGGAAGAGCUCAAAUUUUAAAUCUGGCGGUUCUUGAUCGUCCGAGUUGUAAUCUAGAGAAGUGUUACCUGUGCUGGACCGUGUACAAGUCUCCUGGAAUGGAGCAUCAUAGAGGGUGAGAAUCCCGUCUUUGACAUGGACUACCAGUACAUUAUGGUGCACCCUCGAAGAGUCGAGUUGUUUGGGAAUGCAGCUCAAAAUGGGUGGUAAAUGCCAUCUAAAGCUAAAUAUUGGCGAGAGACCGAUAGCGAACAAGUACCGUGAGGGAAAGAUGAAAAGAACUUUGGAAAGAGAGUUAAACAGUACGUGAAAUUGCUGAAAGGGAAACGCUUGAAGUCAGUCACGUUGGCUGGAAAUCAGCCUGCUUUUGCUUGGUGUACUUUCUGGUUUGACGGGUCAGCAUCAAUUUUGACCACUGGAUAAAGUCUCUGGGAAUGUGGCAUCUCUGGAUGUGUUAUAGCCCUAGGUCGCAUACAGUGGUUGGGAUUGAGGAACUCAGCACGCCGCAAGGCCAGGUUUCGACCAUGUUCGUGCUUAGGAUGCUGGCAUAAUGGCUUUAAUCGACCCGUCUUGAAACACGGACCAAGGAGUCUAACAUGCCUGCGAGUGUUUGGGUGGAAAACCCAUGCGCGUAAUGAAAGUGAAAGUUGAGAUCCCAUUCAGGGAGCAUUGACGCCCAGACCAGACCUUUUGUGACGGAUCUGCGGUAGAGCAUGUAUGUUGGGACCCGAAAGAUGGUGAACUAUGCCUGAAUAGGGUGAAGCCAGAGGAAACUCUGGUGGAGGCUCGUAGCGAUUCUGACGUGCAAAUCGAUCGUCAAAUUUGGGUAUAGGGGCGAAAGACUAAUCGAACCAUCUAGUAGCUG